GAAACAAGAGAGAAGCUUCUCACAUUUCUCUCACCACACCAGCCCGCAACGCAAACCUGCGCUGAGCAGUCAGCCAGCCCCGAUUGAAGAAAAGGAGGCAAGACGACCCGAUCGCCCCAACCACCGCCGAAAACAAGCCUAGGGCUCAGAGUAAGGCGAGGAAGAACCUUUCGCCGGGACUGACCCAACACCCAGACAAAGGGGAGUGUUUUUCAACAUAUCAAGAAAACAGACGACCCAGUUUCCCCCGGCGCGGACUGGCCUUGUGUAAUGGUUUGAACUUUACUCAGCAUUCUGAGGAAUACCACUGCGCUCUGAUUGGCAACCAGCAGGGGGAGCUCCAGCGGAAACUGCCCAUCUGACAAAGGGUCAUCGGGAAUCGGCCACCAGAAUGCUCCGGGGAUGAUCGGCCGGGACGAAACCGUGCGCACUCGCCCUUCUAACGUCCUCCGAGACCCCCAGGGGCCGACCCUGCCCAGCCGCUACUGCUGCCCGUCCCCAGAUA